rnacentral:rRNA from 1 species
ACCAGACUCCUACGGGAGGCAGCAGUGGGGAAUAUUGCACAAUGGGGGAAACCCUGAUGCAGCAACGCCGCGUGAGUGAAGAAGUAUUUCGGUAUGUAAAGCCCUAUCGGCAGGGAAGAAAUUGGACGGUACCUGACUAAGAAGCCCCGGAUAACUACGUGCCAGCAGCCGCGGUAAUACGUAGGGGGCAAGCGUUAUCCGGAUUCACUGGGUGUAAAGGGAGCGUAGACGGCCAUGCAAGCCUGGAGUGAAAGCCCGGGGCCCAACCCCGGGACUGCUCUGGGAACUGUGCGGCUGGAGUGCGGGAGGGGCAGGCGGAAUUCCUGGUGUAGCGGUGAAAUGCGUAGAUAUCAGGAGGAACACCGGCGGCGAAGGCGGCCUGCUGGACCGCGACUGACGUUGAGGCUCGAAAGCGUGGGGAGCAAACAGGAUUAGAUACCCCCGUA